GUCCGCCAGAGGAUCGCAAGAACCCCUAGUACUAAGCACCAUUAGAUGGCUAGCUUAUCAAAAUGGAAGUAGAAAAUCGCUUGCUGGUCACGGUAUGAUUAAAAUUCACUACCCUCACUAGUCUUGAUAGUCAGGGCACUUCUACCACAUUGUUUAUAAACGCCGGUAGGGUCUAAAGAGAAGAGGGAUUCCAUACGACCUUGCAACUACUAAUCCUCUACCUCAGAAACUUUACUUUCAUUCCCAAAGGCCAGGCCUAAUGACAUAGCGGAGAGCUAAAUCAGGGUCCUGCCAAAGCGUCUGUUCCCUCCUAUCCUGGACAGGGAGAGCCGUCGGGGAUCAGAGUCUGAACUGAGUAUUCUAUAACGUGUGGUUAUUGACAAAGGGAGGGGGAGAGUGGAGGAGGGAAAUGGAAAGGAAAAACAGGGGGAAAAAUGUGUUCAUUUACACAUUUCCUGUGCAGAACAAAAAAGUCCCACCAUCAGCAAAAGAAGCCUUUUCCUCCAAAAUAGCAGCCAAAGAGGGAGAAUUAGAAUAUGCAUAAAAUUCCUUCAUUUUCAUUUGCACAGAGCAUGAUUUCCGGCACAUUCGAUGUAAGCUGCGCGAUUAAUCCCAACGCCUAAACAUUAUUUCACUUAGCAUCUUUCCAAAACUCACCUAAAGGAAAUUACUGUCUUCCCAUGACCCCUUUUUAAAGCUACCAUUUCCUUGUCUGUCUGCCAAUGAGAAUUCCUUUGAUAGGGGUUAUAAGUGGGGGUUUCCUGACCAUCCUUCCUCCUUCACUGCGCUGCUACACCGGAGCCCCAUUCCCCUGAAAGCUAGCUGCCGGCUAUGAAGCCAGGACUGGAAGCCUCAGCCUAAUGGAAAGUGUGAUUUAGAAAUGUGCAUAAAAGAUAAUAAACAUGCAGGACAGAUGCUCUUUGUACACUCUUGUGUCCUGAAAAAAAUCUUUCAAGUUAGCAGUAACCAAGAUGCUUGUCCAUAGACACCUCUUGAGUACCAGCCUGUCCUCAAGAAUAAGAGAAUGUCAAAACCUUACUCAGAGUAAUGCUGUUCCUCACAAAUAUUCAGCCUAUGUAGCCACUAAAUCCCACAGCAUAACCCACAUCAUGUUUUGUUUUGCCACUUACAACACAUCUGGUUGCAUCUUCCUUGAAAAAUUCUUUGUUGUGAAAAACUAUUAGCAUUAUUUGAAACAAUUCUUUUUUUUUAAAACCAGGGCUUACUCCUGCCUGUGAAAAGGUAUGUUUCUUUUAUUUAAUAGAAUGUGAAUAAUGGGUGAAAAUUUUAUGUCUUGACUUACUGUUACAAGAAAAUCUUCAUUCCAGGAAACUCUACUCUAAUUCUUCACUCCAUAUCCCAGUAUGGAAAGAAAAUCUAUAUUUGCUCACAAUAUAAAGGUGCAUCUGCAAAGAUUUCCUUCAGUAUCUGCAGAUUUCAAGCAAAUCUCAAUUGCUAGUACUUAAAAAGAAAUGCUAAUAUUUAUUUGACUUUUAGUUUGCAUAGAAUAAGCAAUAUUUGAUGCAUUUAGUUUGGCAUAUAUCGGACAUGAAUAAGCAUUUAAUAUAUGGUUUCUGUUGGCUAAAGAUGUAUUAAGGUAUUGGGCUAUAGAAGCUUAUAAAUUUAAUUAAAUGGGUUUGUAAACUUUACAGACACAAAAGUUUCUGCAUACUGUUAACACUAAAAUAGACGCUUCCAGUUUUUAUUUACAUCAAAUAUCAUCAGCAGUGAAUCAUUAAAUGUAGUUAUUCUCAGUUGUGCAAUCCUGUAUUGGUUCAGAAGUUCUCAGUCACAUGAAAUAAAAUAAAAAUUAUUAGAAAAUGAGUUCUUCCAAAGCCAUAUUUAGGGAGUGCAUGUAACAGAAUUGAGAGCCAUGUUUUCUAGUAAGGCUGACUUCCCUUAAUGUUCUUACUGAAACAAGUGAUAGUUUUAUUUCUCAAUAAAGAAACAUUUCUUAAUUAAAAGAACCGUGGUAGCAGAAUAUUCUCCUUAAAACAUUAUUUUGGUUGUAAUUAAAUUAAAUAUGAGAUGCUCUUAUCUUAUUUUAAGUUGCAGAAGUAUGUUUACAGAGGAAUUGGAAUGAAUUCAGUGGGCUGUUGAGCUCCAAGCAUUGAGAAAUUCUGGGGCGCCACUGAAAUGUAGACCUACCAGCACCUAAAGCUGCCACCUCCCACCGCAGACUUACAGAGAUGCUUGGGACCUGAGUACCACUUCAGUGUGUUUAUUCUCCAAAAUGAAAGCUUCUCUUUCUUUGCUGAAAUUUAAUGAAAUAAUGUUCUCCCAAACUGGAAGUGUUUUCAUUAAAACAAAAAGACUACAAGGAAGUGUAAAAGGGUGUUCAGCCUCCUUCCCAUAGACAGCAAAGAUCACAAAGAGCUAAGGCAGUGAAGGUUGUGCCCCCCCCAGCUCCCCACCCCCUUGCUUCCUUCUUUUGGUGUUUCUGUUAUGGACUGUGUGUGCAUUCAUGUUUGAAAGAAAUAUCUCUCACACAAUAAUAAUAAUAAUAAUAAUAAUAAUAAUAAUAAUAAUAAUAAUAAUAAUGAUAUAAAAGUUUCCAGAACACAAACUGGCUACUGAUAUUUAUGUCUUUGAUUUUGUUUUGUUUGUUUUACCUUUUUAAGGGUCUGGGGUCUGCUUGUUAGACAUUGCCAGGGCCACAUUCAUGCAACUAAGUUUGUCAAUCUCUUAUCCCAAUCCAUCCUGUAGCUAAGAGCUCUCCUCAUAUGUAUGGCCAUAGGUGCUGAACUGACAAGGAAUCUCUACAUUCGUCUGUUAUUCUUUCCCACAACUGCCCUCCCUCUUCCUACCAUCUUUCCCAUCUUUCUCAUAAACAAGGCAAUAAUAAACCACCUGCUUGAGAGCUAACAUCUACCUGACAAAUGCCAAAUCUAACCUCAUACCUUUUAUUUUUUUUCAUUUUAUUUCACUUCAUUUCCCUUUUUGUGGGGGAUUGAAAGUGGGGCUAUAUGUUCAGGAGACAAGAAAUAUUAGACUGAGAUGAUGUUAGACCUACUGAUUCUUCCUACCCAGGCCUAGGGCUGAGCUGCCAUUUGCUUACCCAGCAUGGGUAGCUCUCACAGAAGCAGCUCUUGUACCUGGGAAAUGGUUUGAUUUCCUGGCUAGACCAUCACUGGUGAAGACUACUGCCACUAAAUCUACUUUCUUUCCUCUUCUUUAGAUCUACCUGUUCCUAAAGCAAUAAAAAGAAUUCAUUCUGGGGUGGGGGUGGAUGCGAUGCUAGGAUGUUGUGUCUCACUUUACAGAGUGGAUCCAUGUUCUCUGAGUUCCCUGGAAACUUAAAACUCUCUUAUUAACUUCCUUGGCUUUUUGAACAUAGUUUUUAAAUACCAUUACUUUCCUACCGACCAGAAAUGAUCUAGGUAGAACAUACCCCAGCCCUCCACUCAAGAACUCUUUACAUGGCUACCUCUGUUCUAGACUGCUUUAAGAAUGACACCUUCAGGGGAACAUGCCCAUAGCCAUGAUGGAGCCUGAACACAGAAUUGCUAAAUGGCAUUUACAAGGGCUACUAUAGCAGACUAAGGGAGACUUUCUUCAGAAACUUGAGUUUAUCUAGACAGAAAUCAUUCAUGAGCAAAACAUGAAAUUGGAGGGAGGCUCAACCUCCUCCAUGGAACACAAAUCUAAGGUUGAAGUGGGUUUUAUCUCCUUCCUGUUGGCCUUGGAAUUAUUUUAAGCUCACCUCUGCUAUGAAUUUUCAUUGUUAUUAUUAAUAGUUUAUUUAGCAAUAUUGUUGGGGGCUUGUUACUUUUCUUGUUGUGGUUGUUACACUAUUCACCAGAAGUUUAGGAAGAUUAGUCAGAUUAAUUAGUUUAUUGGUAAUUUAAAGCUGAAAACUAGUAAUUAAACCAAAAGCUAUAAAUGAUCGUGGAUGAUUCAUACCGAUGUAGGAUUUAGAAGGAAGAUAAUCUAAAUUUUGGCCACUAAAUUUUUGCAGCUGUGAAAUAACAAGGACUUGGGGAUCAAGAAUAUGAUAACUGUUGUAUAUUUUAGUCACCCAAUCACUCUCUCUCCCCCUGGAUUAUCAGUAAUCUGUUUGAUAGACUUAAAAACCAUUUUUUGAGUAGAGAACAAAGGUGAGAUGAAUGACCCUCAUGUCACCAGAUUUUUCACAUGGAUUCCCUGUGCUCAGGACCAUCCUAGCAUAUAAGAUCUCUCCCUUUCAAAACAGCUUUUUCUUUCUCUCUGCUCCUGUUAUGAGUCUGUCUGAAAAGGAAGCAUACUAUAAGUCAAGGAAACAAACUCACCCUUUUAGGCAAACUAUAUGGAAUAUAAACUCAACAAUGCACUUCUUACAAUGAGUUCCUGCUCUUUCAAAUAUAAUUAAUGUUUUGAUAGUAUAGUUCCUUAACUACAUAUAUACACAUAAAAACAGACCCACCCUCUAGCUCUACUGUUUGUACAUCUAAAACAAAAAUGGAUACAUUCUUUCAGUGGCUCCUAAAAUACUUCUAGACCAUCAGCACAUUAAGAUAGCUAUAGUGCAAAUAUUGUCAAUUUUGUUAAGUAUUAUUUAAAAACAGACGAUAUUCUAGAUCGAUAUAGUCUGAUACAGAAAUUUUCUACAUAUCAGGCAAAAUCUCCAAAACCCUAUUUAUACUUUGAAAAUUUAAUAAUGGAAGCAUGAUCUUAGUAUCUUUAUUUUAUCUAGGUGAGGCUUAAUUGACAAAUGUGUAUAAAAACAAGUAACUAUAAUAACAAAGUAUUCUGACUUAGUUCAGACUUACUUUGUCAAAUACCUCAUCUCUCUGUUUUAGGUCAAUGAGUUCAAAACGUUGGUGUUAGUUAUACAUAAACACAUGUGGCAUAAAUGGUCAGAAACACAGACGUACAGAUAUGUAGCUAACAGCAUAGAGUUAAAUGAAGAUGUCUGAGGUUCCAUAUUUUUGCCUUCUUAUAUUGCACACCCAGCAUUUCAUCCUUCUGAAUGAUUAGCAUGUUAAGAAUGGAUAAAUAUACAGACAGCGGGCUGUGGCAUGCUUUCUCUCUUUAGUAAAAAACGAAUACUAUUGAACCCAGCACAAAUAUCAAACUUCAUCUACCUACAACAAUAUGGGAUAGAGAACUAGAUAUGGGAAACUCAUAAAUUGAUUUGCAAACCUCCUGGAGAUACUGUUUGAUAUUUGAACAUAUCGAAGGUACUGGCAAGAGAAAGAAAUAUCUUACACAUUUCUCUCUUCAAACUUUUUAGAAGGAAUGUGUCAAAGAAUUUGCUCUUUGUAAACAUUUUGAAGCUCCUUCUCUUACUUUUCUUAUUUAAUAUUUGAAAUUAUAAAAGAAGAUAAAAGGAACAAGGGAGUCUAUGAAUGUGAUUUUUAAGUAGAUUGUCUUUCAACAAUAUGAGAGAAACAUAACUUUUUCUCACUGCAGUAUGAUUCUUGAGAACCCCUAAUUUUGUGGUUGUUUAAGAUGGGGCCCAUUAGCGAUCUUUUUUUAUUGCUUUCCUCCAAGCAUACAUGUGAGAUUGACACUCCUUCACACUCACGAGGUUAACACAGAUUAUUAAAUAUUAGUUAAUUUUUAACAGAAAAGCCCCUAGGAGUACAGACUCGGUGUUAGUAUAGGAAGAAACUACUAUCCCGGUCGUUUUGGGUACAGGCAAUUGAACAAACAGUUUCUAUCUUUGGGUACAGGCAAUUGAACAAACAGUUUCUAUCGUAUAGAUCCCCAAGAAUGUGUGAAACAUAAAGUACAAGUUCUCCCCCAGAACUCCUGAUGUGUCCUUAUUCCUUCCCAGAUCUCCUUCCUUUUGUUUUGCUUUUUCAGUGGAACUACUGUGAUCUUGAGUGAGGUUUUGUUUGGCUCUGGUUAAUAUUAAAGAAGAUCACACACGGUUGAAAAAUAUUGUUAUUUUUCUUUAAUGGGGAAAAUUGGACUCCUGCGUGUCAGAUCUGUGGAUUUCCGAAAGGCAGUGGGAAUGGUACUGACAUCACUUUGCACUUUAACAAUCCGAUUUGGUCAGAGUACAAGUUGUUUGUUUAACCCGACAACUCGGUGCACCCCGUCGCACACUUUGCACACUCAUUAAAACGAUUAUUCACGACCUGUCGAGUGUUUUCGGGUUCAUUCACAGGAAAGGCUUGCAUCCAGGGAGCAAUUCAAGUCAACACUGUCCACUAUACCGGCGCACGUGAGGACGAGCUGGUGCAUGCGUGAAGGAUGCGGGAGGGGUUGGUGAGUAAGUGCCUUGGCUAUUAAAUCCUUCUCUUCAAGGGACGCUAAGGAAUCUCAACCUCCUUACAGCCCUGGACUCCACAACACUUCACUCUGCUAGCUUCAACGACUUGAUAAGGAAAAGAAAAUUUAAACAAACGAAACAAAUAGAGAUCCCAGGAUACCUUCUGCCUGUGGCCCGGUUCUCAUGGACAACUACUGAGGAAAAGUAAUUCCCUUUCCACUUCCCAAGUUUUCAGCAACUUUGUAAUACUUUGUAAUGGCAGUAGAAGACCACAAUACGGAUGUACUUCCACCCUUACUCCCGCGCCUUUACUUACAGGGAAUGCACUGAGCGACUCAGGUAUUCCUAUUAUGUGCUGAGAUGGAUGCCGGUACUCACCCCAUGUGUUGCAUUAGGGGAAGGGAUAUGACUAUCUUCAGAAGAUGUAAUAACACGCACACUAAUAAAACAUAUGUACAUACAUGUAUUCAAUAUAUAGGACAUCGUAUGGCUUUUUUUCUGAAUGACCUUUGGCAUAAUUUCGAAUUAGCAUUUGUUUAAAAUGUCCAAUGUCUAAAUGAUUCAUCCUCUAUUUUUUCAUUUUAAGGAAAACUCUGCAAACAUAUAACUAGCUUAUUUUUGUGAGGCUAACCCGGACAAACCAAUUGAAAACGAUGUCUUAUUUGUGAGUUUCAUUCCAUUUAAACCUAAGAUCACCAAAUCAUGUUUCCUAUUUAUCGAAACAUGUCAAUACUAUGUGUGAAGAAAAGAAUGGAGGCUCUCAAGCAGCAUGGGGCUUGAA